GAACCAUAAGAGACUAUGGACUCUGAGAAACAAACAGGGUUUUAGAGGGGAAUGGGGGAGGAGGGAUUGGUUAGCCCGGUGAUGGGUAUUAAGGAGGGCACGUACUGCAUGGAGCACUGGGUGUUAUACGAAAACAAUGGAUCGUGGAUCACCACAUCAAAACCAACAUUACUUUCCAUUACUCUGUCCUCCAGGUCACUAAUUCAUUCCUUUGCUUCUUCUAGCCUGCUAUUUAUUCCAUAUAUUUUAAAUUUCAUUUAUUCUGUUCUUCAUCUCUGAUUGUUUCUUUUUUAUGUUUUGCUCUUUGUUAAGGGUCUCACUGAUGUCUUCACUCUUUUCUCAAGUCCAAUGAGUAUCUUUAUUUUUUUUAUUUUAAUUUUUUUAAGUAGGCUCCACACUGUGUGGAGCCCAAUGUGAGCCUUGAACUCAAGUCCAGUGAGUAUCUUUAUGACCAUUACUUUAAAUUCUUUAUCAGGCAUAUUACUUACAUCCAUUUCACUUAGGUCUCUUACUGUGGUUUGGUCCUCUUGUUUCAUUUGGCACAUACUCCUCUGUCUCCUCAGUUUGUCUAACUCUCUGUGUCUAUUUCUGUGUUUUAGGAAAGUCAGGUACAUCUCUCACUGUUGAAAGUAAUGGCCUUACGAAGAAGAGGUCCUGUAGUGCCCUGCAGUGCAGUGUCCCCUGUUCACCAGGACCUGGUUCUUUAGGGGAAGAUUUGGAAGAUAAAUUGUGGUGAAUUUCAGUCAAUUUCAACUCAGCACAGUAGCAGCUGUCCAACCUCCACCCCCAGUGGCAGGCUACUGUGCACAAGUUUCUGGAGCAGCUUGACCACCAGCAGCUUGUACAAGCCAGGAAUUGAAGGGAAAAAUAGACAAUUCUAUAUGGUUGAAGACUUCAAUACCCUACUCAUGAUAAUGACUAGGACUACCAUUCCAGAAGAUGAAAGGAAGGAAAUAACAGACAGAAGAUAAGUAAGAAAAUAAAAGACUUAAUACAAUAAACCAACUCCUCUAACAAACAUAUACAGAAUACUCUACUCAACAACAACAGCAUACAUAUUCUUCUUAAGUGCAUAUGGGACAUUUUUUAGGGUAGACCAUAUAUUAGGCCACAAAUUAAGUCUCAAUAGAUUUAAAAAUAUAAAUAUUAUGCAAAGUAUCUUCUAUGGGAUGAAACUAGAAAUAAAUAACAGAAGGAAAAUUGCAAGGUUCACAAAAUUGUGUUUAUUAAACAACAUACUUUUAAACAAACAAUAGUUUAAAGAAGAAAUCACAAAGGAAAUUAGGAAAUACUUUGAGAUGAAUGACAAACGAAAACACAAUAUACCAAGACUUAUGGAACUCAGCAAAAGCAGUGUUAAGGGGGAAAUUUAUAGCUAUAAACACAUUAAAAAACAAGAAAGAUCUCAAAUCAACAAACUAACCUUGCAAUUUAAGGAACUAGAAAAAGAAGAACAAACUAAGCCCAAAGCUAACAGAAAAAAGGAAAUAAUAUAGAUCACAGAUAAAUGAAAUAGAGAAUACAAAAACAAUAGAAAAAAAAGUCAAUGAAACCAGAAGUUUAAAUGAAACUAGAAGAUCAACAAAAUUGACAAAACUCUCAUUAGAUGACUAAGGAAAAAGAGAGAAGACUCAAAUUACUAAAAUCAGAAAUGAAAGUGGCAACAUAACUACUGAUUCUACAGACAUAACAAGGAUUAUGAGAGUUUUAUUAGCAAGUGCAUAUCAAAAAAUUGAAUAAUCUAGAUGAAAUGGACAAAUUACUAGAAAAAAAAAAACCUACCAAGACUAAAUUGUGAAGAAACAGAAAAUCUGAAUAGACCUAUAACUAGUAAGGAGAUUGAACUCACAAUAAAAAAUCUUCCUAGAAAGAAAGCCCUGGGCCUGCCUGAUGGCUUCACUAGUGAUUUCUACCAAACAUUAAAGAACUAAUGCCAAUCCUUCUCAGAGUUUUGCAAAAAACUGAAGAGGAGAUAACAAUUCCUAACUCAUUUUGUAAGGCCAGCAUUACCCUGAUACCAAAGCCAGAAAAAGACAUUACGAGAAAACUAUAGACCAAUGCCUUAUGAACAUUGAUGCAAAAAUCCUCUACAAAAUACCAGCAAACCAAAGUCAGCAGCACAUAAAAGGAUUAUGCACCACAAUCAAGUGUAAUUUAUCCCUAGAAUGUAAGGAUUUUUCAAUAUGAAAAAGCAAUCAAUAUAAUAUGUCACAUUAAUGGAAUGAAGGAAAAAAACCCACAUGAUCAUCUCAACUGAUACAGAAAAAGCAUUUGACAAAAUUCAACAAACUUUCAUGAUAAAAACAUUCUGAAAACUACGAAUAGUAGGAAAUGACCUCAACAUAAUAAAAGCCAUGUAUGAAAAACCCACAGUGAAUAUCAUAUUCCAUGGUAAAAGACUGAAAGCUUUUCCUCAGAAAAGGUAAGGAUGCCCACUUUUACCACUUCUAUUCAACAUAGUACUGGAAGAUCUAGCCAGAGCAAGUAGGCAGAAAAAAGAAAGACAUCGGGAAAUUGGAAAGGAUGAAGUAGAAUUAUUUCUAUUUGCAGAUGAUAUAAUCUUAUACAUAGAAAACCCUAAAGAACCCACGCACCAAAGAAAACAUAUUAGAACUAAUUAAUAAACUCAGCAAAGUAGCAGGAAACAAAGUCAACACAAAAAUCAGUUGCAUUUUUUAUAUACAUUUGACCCUUGAACAACAUGGGUUUGAACUGAAUGGGUCCAUUUAUACAUGGAUUUUUUAUAGUACAGUACUAUCAGUAUUUAUUUUUUCUUCCUUAUGAUUUUCUUAAUAAUAUUUUGCUUUCUCUAGCUUACUUUAUUGUAAAAAUACAGUAUAAAAUACAUGUAACAUACAAAAAUAUGUGUUGACUGUUUAUUUUAUUGGUAAGCCUUCUGGUCAGUAGGCUAUUAGUAGUUAAAUUUGGGGGGAGUCAAAGUUAUAUAUGCAUUUUCAACCACAUGGGUCAGCAGUCCUAACCCCUGUGCUCUUCAGGGGUCACCUGCAUUAACAAUGAACAAUUUGAAAAGGAAAUUACAAAAACAAUUUUUUUGUAAUAGCAUCAAAAAGAAUAAAAUAUUUAGGAAUUAACCAGGGAGAUGAAAGACUAGUACAUGAACCUUACAAAACAUUGCUAAGAGAAAUUAAAGAAGACAUAAAUAAAUGGAAACAUAUCAUGGAAUGGAAUGGAAGAUUUAGUAUCGUUAAAUGUCCAUAUUACCCAAAGCAAUCUACAGAGUCAAUGCAAACCCUAUCAAAAUGCCAAUUACAGUUUUAUAUAAAAAUAGAAAAAAACAUUUUAAAAUUCAUAUGGAAUCACAAGGGACCCCAAAUAGCCGAAAAAAUCUUGAAAAAGAAGAACUGGGGAACUCACACUUCCUGAUUUCAAAACUUACAAAACAAAAAUUAAAACAGUGUGGUACUGGCGUAAAGACAGACAUAUAGACCAAUGGAGUAGAAUAGAGAUCCCAGAAAUAAAGCCUCACAUAAUAUGAUCAAAUGAUUUUUGAAAAGGGUGCCUAGACCAUUCAAUGGGGAAGGACAGUCUUUUCAAGAAAUGAUGUUGGGAAAAAUGGUAUACAUAAGCAAAAUAAUGAAUUUGGACCUUUAGCUAACACCAUAUUAAAAAAAAAAACUAACUCAAAAUGGAUCAGACCUAAAUUUUAAAAAUUCUUGAAAGAAAACAUGUGCUAAAACUUCACAACAUUGGACUCAGCAAUGAUAUCUUAGCUAUGACACUAAUUACAGGUAACAAAAGAAAAAAUAAACAAAUUGGACUUCAUGAAAAUUAAAAUUUUUUUAAAUUUUUAAAUUUUUUAAAUUAAAUUGCAUAAAAGGAAACCUACAGAAUGGGAGAAAAUAUUUGCAAAUCAUAUAGCUGAUAAGGGAUUAAGAAUCAGAAUAUAUAGAGAACUCCUGAAAGUCAACAACAAAAACAAAACAAUAUGAUUGAAAGUAGGCAAAAGACUUGAGUACAUUUCUCCAAAGAAAAGGAAUGGCCAUUAAGCACAUGAAAAGAUACUCAGCAUCACUUAUCAUUCAGGAAAUGCAAAUCAAAGCUACGAUGAGAUAUCACCUAACAGUUAUUAGGAUGGCUAUUAUCAGGAAAACAGAAAACGAGUGUUGGCAAUGAUGAGGAGAAACUGGAACCCUUGUGCACAGCAAUAACUGGGGAGUUACUGUUUAAUAGGUAUAGAGUUUUGAUUUUACAAAAUGAAAAGAGUUAUGGGGAUGGAUUGUGGUGAUGGCUGCAAAACAAUGUGAAUGUAUUUAAUACCACUAAAGUGUACCCUUAAAAAUGGUUACGAUGGUAAACUUUAUAUUAUAUGUAUUUUAACAUAAUUCUAAAAAGAAUAGAAGAGUUAUGGAGAUGAAUUGUGGUGAUGAUUGCACAGCACUAUUAAUGUAUUUAAUAACCACUGAACUGUAUACUUAAAAAUGGUUAAGAUGGUAAAUUUUAUGUGUAUUUUACCACAAUAAAAAAAAUUGGAAAAAAAAUUACAAAAAUCUAGAUAUGUUCUAUUUGCAGUUUUCCUAUUUCUGUCCACUAUGCCUUCAUCUAAGCUUUCCCUUCUGCUUGAGUCCUUGUCUUCAGUCCUCCCCAGCUGCUCCCAGCCAUCCUACAAAGCUCAAGUGUCAAGAAGACCUUUUAACCUUCCUGGGUCAAGUUUUCCUUAAACUUUAAUGUGCAUAUAAAUCUGAGGAUCGUGGUAAAAUGUACAUUCAUUUACUCAGUCUUAGGUAGGGUCUGAGACUUUGCAUUUCUAAUAAGCUCCUAGGUAAAUCAGGUAGUGGUGAUCUAUGGAUCACAUUUGAGUGGGAAGGCUUUAGACUAGCAAUUCUCAAACUUUUUGUUUUAGGACCCCUAUAUGCUCUUAAAAAUUAUUGAGGACUCCAAUGAGCUUUGGUUUAUAUAAAUUAUAUCUAUCAGUAUACAUCAUGUUAGGAAAUAAAACUGAGGGGCGUCUGGGUGGCUCAGUGAGUAAAGCGUCUGCCUUUGGCUCAGGUCAUGAUCCUGGGGUCCUGGAAUGGAGCCCAGUGUCAGACUCCCUGCUCAGCUUCUCCUCUCCCUCUACCCUUCCCCACUGCUCAUGCUCUCUCUUUCUCUUGCUCUCUCUUUCUCUCCAAUAAAUAAAAUCUUUAAAACAAAGAAAAGAAAACUGAGAAAUAUAAAAAAAUAUUUAAUUCAUUUAAAAAUAACAAUAUCAAGCCCCUUAUAUGUUAGCAUAAAUAACAUUUUAUUUUUGCAAUAUCUCUUUAUUUUUUCUUAAAGAUUUUACCUAUUUAUUUGAAAGACAGAGAGAGAGCACGAGAGGGGGGAAGGUCGGAGGGAGAAGCUGAGCAGGGUGCCUGAUGUGGGACUCGAUCCUGGAACUCAAUCUGGGACUUGAUACCGGGACUCCAGGAUCAACACCUGAGCUGAAGGCAGACCCUUAACUGACUGAGCCACCUAGGCACCCCUGCAAUAUCUCUUUAAUAUCUGGUUCCACUCUAUCAUAAAUGGGCAAAUCCAACAGGUUUAAAGUCUGUAAGGAUAUAAUUGAACUCAAUGGCAACAUCAAUCAACUGGGUAUAAUGGAUAUCUAUAGACUACUUUAUCCAAGAACACCAGAAUAUACAUUCUUCUCAGGUCACACGAAACAUUUACCAAAAUAGACCACAUUCUGGGCUAUAAAACAUGCCUUACAAAAUUUAAAAGAAUAGAAAUCAUACAAUGUCUGCUCUAGACCAUAAUUGAAGUAAACUAGAAAUCAGUAACAGAAAGAUAGCUAGAAAAUCCCAAAAUACUUAGUGAUUAAACAACACACUUCUAACUAACACAUGGGUCAAAAAAGAAAUCUCAAGAGAAAUUAAACAAUAUUUUGAACUAAAUAAAAAUGAAAAGAGAACUUAACAAAAUUUGUAGGAUGGAGCAAAAGCAGUGCUUAGAGGGAAAUUUAUAGCAUUGAAUGCCUAUAUUAGAAAAGAAGAGAAGAAAGAGCUAAAAUCAGUCACCUAAGCUUCCAUUUUAGGAAACUAGAAAAAGAAGAGCAAAUUAAAUUCAAAGUAAAUAGAAGAAAAGGGAUAAUAAAAAUUAGAGCAGAAAUUUAUGAAAUUGAAAACAGGAAAUGAAUAGAGAAAAUCAAACCAAAAGCUGGUUCUUUGAAAAGAUCAAUAAAAUCAACAAGCCUCUAGCCAGGCUAACUAAGUUAAAAAGGGAGAGGACACAAAUUCCUAACAUCAGAAAUGAAAGAAAGGCCAUCACUACAGGUCCCAUGGACAUUAACAGAAUAGUAAAGUAAUACCACAAACGAUUCUAUGCCCAUGAAUUUGAUGGCAUAGGUGAAAUUGACCAAUUCCUUGAAAUACUCAAUCUGCCAAAACUCACACUAGAAGAAUUAAAAAUAUGAAUAAACCUAUUUAAGAAAUUGAAUCAACAAUUAAUAAUGUUCCAAAACAGAAAGAUCAGGCCCAGGUAGGUACACUGGUGAAAUCUUUCAAACAUUUAAGGAAGAAAUUAUGCCAAUUCUCUACAAUUUCUUUCAGAACAUAGAGCAGAGAGAAUACUUCCUAACCCAUUUUAUGAGGCAAGCAUUACCCUAAUACCAAAACCAGACAAAGAGAUUAUAAGAAAAUAAAACUACUGACCAAUAUUUCUCAUGAACAUAGAUGCAAAAAAUCCUCAAAAGUUAGCAAAAAAAAAAUUAGCAAAUAGAAUCUAACAAUAUGAAAAGAAUUAUAUACCAAGUGAGAUUUACCCCAGGUAUGCAAGGCUGGUUCAACAACUGAAAAUCAAUUAAUGUAAUUCAGCACAUCAACAGGCUAAUGGAAGAAAAAUCCCAUGAUCAUAUCAAUAGGCACAGAAAAAGCAUUUGACAAAAUCCAACACUCAUACAUGAUACUCUCAGUAAACUAGGAAUAGAGGGGAAUUUCCUCAGAUUGAUAAAAACUAUCUACAAAAAACCCUACAGCUAGCAUCAUACUAAAUGGUGAGAAAUUCAAAGCUUUUCACUAAAAUAAGGAAUAUGGUAAGUACCCUCUCACCACUGCUUUUUAAUAUCAUACUGGAAGUCCUAGAUAAUGCAAUAAAACAAGAGAAGGAAUCAAAGAUAUACAGACUGAGAAGGAAGAAAUAAGUCUGACUUUGUUCAUAGAUGACAUGAUCAUUUAUGUAAAAAAAUCCAAAAGAAUGAACCAGAGAACUCUUGAAACUAAUAAGUCAUUAUAGCAAGAUGGCAGGAUACAAGACUAAUAUGCAAAAGUCAGUUGCUUUCCUGUAUAUACCAGCAAUAAACAGGGGGAAUUUGAAAGUCAAAUUGAAAUACCAUUUACAUUAGCCACUCCCCAAAAUGAAAUACUUAUGUAUAAAGUUAACAAAAUAUGUAGAAGACCUAUUUGAGGAAAACUACAAAAUUCUGAUGAAUGAAAUCAAAUAAGAACUAAAUAAAUGGAAAGGGGCACCUGGGUGGCUCAAUCGUUGAGUGUCUGCCUUUGAUUCAGGUCAUGAUCCCAGGGUCCUGGGAUAGAGCCCCACAUUGGGCUCCCUAUUCCGCGGGAAGCCUACUUCUCCCUCUUCCACUCCCCCUGCUUGUGUUCCCUCUCUCACAGUGUCUCUCUGCGUAAUAAAUAAAUAAAAUCUUAAAAAAAUUUUUUUAAUAAAUGGAGAGAUAGUCCAUGUACAUGAAUAGGAAGACUCAAUAUUGUUAAGAUGUCAGUUCUUUCCAACUUGAUCUAUAGAUUCAAGGCAAUCUCAAACAAAAUCCCAGCAAGUUAUUUUAUGGAUAUCAACACCCGAUUCUCCAUUUUUAUGGAGAGGCAAAAGAUUCAGAAUAACCAACAGAUUAUUGAAGAAGAACAAAGUUGGAGGACUGAUGCUACCCUACUUCAAGGCUUACUAUAAGGCUAUAGUAAUCAAGACAGUAUGGUAUUGGUAAAAGAAUGGACAAAUAGAUCAGUAGAACAGCAUAGAGUCCAGAUAGUCCCACACAAAUACAGUCAAUUGAUCUUUAACAAAGGAGCAAAGGCAAGUAAUACAAUGGAGAAAAGAUAGUCUUUUCAACAAAUGUACUAGAAUGGCUACACA